rnacentral:rRNA from 1 species
CAGCCGCCGCGGUAAUACGUAGGGUGCAAGCGUUAUCCGGAAUUACUGGGCGUAAAGCGUGCGUAGGUGGUGGUUUAAGUCCGUUGUGAAAGCCCUGGGCUCAACCUGGGAAUUGCAGUGGAUACUGGGUCACUAGAGUGUGGUAGAGGAUAGUGGAAUUUCCGGUGUAGCAGUGAAAUGCGUAGAGAUCGGAAGGAACAUCUGUGGCGAAGGCGACUAUCUGGGCCAACACUGACACUGAGGCACGAAAGCGUGGGGAGCAAACAGGAUUAGAUACUCCGGUAGUCCCUGUCUCUUAUAC